rnacentral:rRNA from 1 species
GACGACGCUGGCGGGCGUGGAUUAGGCAUGCAAGUCGAACGGUAUCAUCCUUUCGGGGGUGAGAGAGUGGCGAACUGGUGAGUAACGACGUAGGUUAUCUACCCUCAAGACGGGGACAACCCAGGGAAACUUGGGCUAAUACCGGAUGUGAGCAACUUUUAGUUGUUUGAAAGGUGGCGUAAGCUGUCGCUUGGGGAUGAGCCUGCGUCCUAUUAGUUAGUUGGUGAGGUAACGGCUCACCUAGGCAAUGAUAGGUAGGCGGCCUUAACGGGUGGUCGCCCACACUGGGAUUGAGAUACGGCCCAGACUCCUACGGGAGGCAGCAGUCGAGAAUAGUCUACAAUGGUCGGAAGACUGAUAGUGCGACGCCGCGUGAACGAUGAAUCCCUUCGGGGUGUAAAGUUCUUUUAUAUGUGAGCAGUGCUUCUUAUAUUAACAGUAUGGGGAGAGAGAUAUUAGCAUAUGAAUAAGCAACGGCUAACUCCGUG